rnacentral:rRNA from 1 species
AGCGAACGCUGGCGGCAGGCCUAACACAUGCAAGUCGAGCGAGGACUUCGGUUCUAGCGGCGGACGGGUGAGUAACGCGUGGGAAUGUGCCCUUCUCUACGGAAUAGCCCUGGGAAACUGGGAGUAAUACCGUAUACGCCCUAUUGGGGAAAGAUUUAUCGGAGAAGGAUCAGCCCGCGUUGGAUUAGGUAGUUGGUGGGGUAAUGGCCUACCAAGCCGACGAUCCAUAGCUGGUUUGAGAGGAUGAUCAGCCACACUGGGACUGAGACACGGCCCAGACUCCUACGGGAGGCAGCAGUGGGGAAUCUUAGACAAUGGGGGCAACCCUGAUCUAGCCAUGCCGCGUGAGUGAUGAAGGCCUUAGGGUUGUAAAGCUCUUUCAGCUGGGAAGAUAAUGACGGUACCAGCAGAAGAAGCCCCGGCUAACUCCGUG